AAUUCUCAAUCCCCUUCAAUGUUUUCAUUGUUGGGUGAUGGACUAUGGGGGUUUGCUGGCCAGUUCAGCUCUCCUGAAAUGAAUUAGCAAGACAUUAUGCUGUUUUGUGCUAUGGGUAUGAUAGUAUCUAUACCUCAUGUGCUUUAUGGCUUGCUUGCUCCGAAUUGUUGCUCUAUGCAACACAUAUAUGACUU
rnacentral:misc_RNA from 1 species